rnacentral:lncRNA from 10 species
GAUAGGAUGCUGACAAUGUCUGUUGCCUACUCCAGAACUGAUGCCCCAGUGAUUCUGCUGCCUCUGCCAGAGUCAGAAAACUGUGGAUGUGGGAAGCUGCCCGUGGAGUCAGGAAGUCAUCCCUACUGAUGGAGCCUCUGCAGCCACCUUGGUCCUGGUCCACACCAGCAAUGUUGAUGCUGCCCUGCAGCCUGCCUAUCCCCUGGCUUAAUUCCGGCUCCAUGCAUGUGACGAGCAGAAAAAAGAAAGUCGCAUCUGGACCUCCGGCGGCAAGGGAGUCUGAGAAAGAUAGAUCUGUGCAUGGUCAUCUUAACCCUCCUGUAUCCUUAAAGCCCAGCACCAGUUCUUCUGCAUCAGUUAAGCUCCUUGGAGGCCCAGACAACAGCACUUAAUUCAGCAUUGCCCUGAGAGCUGGCAUGGUGCUGGCUAGGUGACUGGCAUUAUGGAAAACUGACUGCAUCUGCUUUAGGAAGAGAGGCAUGUCCAGAGUGGAAAUUCUGGAAGCUCCUUGCAAAACUAAUACCUGGGCUUCUGCACCUCCCCAGCUUGAUGUCUGCUCUUAUCCCUCAUCUCUGCAAAGCCAGGUGCUUCCUCUUGCUUAAAGACCAGCUCAAGGCUCUCUUAUUCCAAGAACUGACUCCAUUACCUCCAGCUAGAUAUAAGCCCAUGGGUCUGUGGAUCCUUCUGAUGUGAAUUUACCUGGAUUUCUGUUUUUCACGGACAGAGGGCUUCAGGAAAGCUCCUGGCCUGACAUGAUGCUAGGCACAUAGUAUUGCUCUUUCCUUCCUACAUCCUCUUCUAGGGAGGGCAUCUUAUCCACCUUGAACAUUCCUACCAUGGAAAACAGUGGCUUGCACAUAGCACAAGGUCAGUUAAUAUUUUGGAUUCCUACAUAAGUCUCAGAGAUGUUAAUAGGAAUUACCAUCUUGUUGCAAUGAAUGUGAGCAAGUAUGUGUUGUGCACAUAAAUUAUCCCACUCCCGCCAAAGGACUAUGUUACUCUUUUUCAAUUACCCAAGCAACUACUCCAGUGCCUUAUGCAUGAUUACCUUCUCUAAGUAUUUUCUUUCUAAAUUAAUACAAUUAUUAACUUCUCAGGGUGUGAACUGUAAAGGGGAAAAUGUGUGCUUCUCUGUUUAAAACAUUAGUAUCUUUAUUUUAAAUCUACUCCAGACUUGCCCAGACUCCUUCACUACUCAGAGUCUCUGAGCAUCGGCUUCCUUAACAUUCAAAAUGGAAAUGAUAAUAAAAACUUUGCACAUCUCUAAAAAUCUCUGAAAAAAAAAAUUUGUCACAUUGAACACAUAAAGCAAGCACUGGAUAAAUUGUAGCUGCAUGGUAUAGUACAGACAACUUGAGACAUAGAUGGAAGGCAGAGCCUAUAUUUUAUUCCUGCCAAACAAAAAUUAAAACAAAGGCAUUAUAAGAACCCAGUGUUGGUGACAUUUGUGAUGGAACAGGCACACUUAUUUUGGAGGCCUGUUUAGCAAUGCUUACCAGGAGUCAUAAAUAUUUUCAUAUACUUUUACCACCGCACAGCAGUUCUAAGAAUUACUACAGGAGAAUGAUUUUUAGAGAGGAACAAGUUAAAUAUAGGCAUCAGUGUAAUUUACAAAGGUGAAAACAAAAAGUAACCUAAAUGCACAUGAAUGGGAGCAAGGUUACAUAAAUUACAGUGCAACAAUGUAAUGGAAUAUCUCACAGCAAUUAAGAAGGCUAAAGACAAAUCCCAGGUAGAAACAUUUAGUGAUUGAAAAUAAUAAGUGUAAUGGUAAAACACAAUUUUAUGUAUACUUUGAUUAAAAUGAUUCAAAAUGAUAUAUUUACUUACAGCCGUGAAGAAAAGAAUAAAGACAUGAACAUGUUUGCUGUGUUAUAUUAGUGAA